GGCUUCCAAAAUGUAGAGGGAUGUACAUUGACUAUAUUUUACCAUGAAAAACAUUAUCUGGUAUGCAAAGGCAUAAUUAGGGCACAGUUCCCCAAAACAGGCUAAUCUUCUGAUCUUCCUUAUCUGUUCCAAAUCCUGGGAUAGAAAGUACCAUAAGGAGACCACAGGCAGCAUGUUAGCUUCCCAUAACACUAUUCUCAAUUAUUCUCAUAUGUUUGUUUACUUCAAGACAGAUGGGAAAAUGACCUGUAUAAAAUCUCUAGAUGGAUGAUCCUGGACUUUAAAAACAAACAAGCAAGCAAGCAAGCAAGCAAACAAACAGAUUUUUCAGUAAGAAAGAUAUUGGUGACAAAAGGGUUUGAUGUUCUCUGACACCAGUGUAUUUCUUAGUUUCCAUUAACUUCAGAACCACCAGGGUAGACUUCUAGGUGCGUGUACUUCACCGAGGAAGCAGCUGAUGCCUCUAAGCUAUCUCCUCUCUUCUUGACAAUUAUCAGGUCUGCUUUUGAUCAGUUGAGUUAUGCCUUUAAGAUUUUGAUCAGUUGGGCUAUGCCUUUAAGAUGUGUAUUAUCAGGCUCUGCAGACUUCAUGUGUGAUGUGUGGUUCAUAUAAACCAUGGAAACCUAAGACUCUCAUCCACUUGAAUCCAGGAGAGCAAGCAGCCACUAUAAAUCCUGAUCCCAAGAGCAGGCUGGAAAUGACUAAGGUUCUGCUCCACAUUUGCCAGAGUAAAUCAUUGAACACUUACUUUAAAUAAAGAAAUAUGGUAGUCAGAUGAUAAACUGUUUUAAACAUGUUUAAAAGUAGGGUAAUAUAUUCAUUAAAUGAUGGUUGAGAUUUGGCAUUUCAAACAUUGAAAAUAUCAAACAUAUUUUCCUGGUUCUUAAUAUAUCACAAGACUCUCCUUCCUAAAGGAGACAGUUGAAAUCUAUAUCCCCCCCUUCCCUGAUCAACAGCCUGUCUAGCUUUCCUGACUUAAUGAGCUUUCUUUUUAAUUUUGCACGAUUUCUUCUAUCUUUAUGUCCUUGGCUCAUGAACUAUGCUCAACUCACUGCUACCUUAGAGUAUUUCACUCGCAUCCAUUGAUACCCAACCUUCUUCUUUUUUCAUGUAGCUCGUCCUGUUCACUUGUGUGAUCAGUUUCUCCAUGCACUCAAUCCUGGAAAGGUCCUCUGGGGUUCUCAAGCCCAACGCAGCUCUUAUAUGCCAUCAAUAAUAAC
rnacentral:lncRNA from 1 species